rnacentral:rRNA from 1 species
CUAAUACCGCAUAAGCGCACGAAGCUGCAUGGCUUUGUGUGAAAAACUCCGGUGGUAUGGGAUGGGCCCGCGUCUGAUUAGGCAGUUGGCGGGGUAACGGCCCACCAAACCGACGAUCAGUAGCCGGCCUGAGAGGGCGACCGGCCACAUUGGGACUGAGACACGGCCCAAACUCCUACGGGAGGCAGCAGUGGGGAAUAUUGCACAAUGGGGGAAACCCUGAUGCAGCGACGCCGCGUGAGCGAAGAAGUAUUUCGGUAUGUAAAGCUCUAUCAGCAGGGAAGAUAAUGACGGUACCUGACUAAGAAGCCCCGGCUAACUACGUGCCAGCAGCCGCGGUAAUACGUAGGGGGCAAGCGUUAUCCGGAUUUACUGGGUGUAAAGGGAGCGUAGACGGCAAGGCAAGUCUGAUGUGAAAACCCAGGGCUUAACCCUGGGACUGCAUUGGAAACUGUCUGGCUCGAGUGCCGGAGAGGUAAGCGGAAUUCCUAGUGUAGCGGUGAAAUGCGUAGAUAUUAGGAAGAACACCAGUGGCGAAGGCGGCUUACUGGACGGUAACUGACGUUGAGGCUCAAAAGCGUGGGGAGCAAACAGGAUUAGAUACCCUGGUAGUCCACGCCGUAAACGAUGAAAGCGAGGUGUUGGGGAGCAAAGCUCUUCGGUGCCGC